rnacentral:misc_RNA from 1 species
GCAGCUUUCUUCUUUGCUUCAGGAGUCACCUCAGGCAAAUCUUUCUUUGGAAUAAUACAUUCUUGCUUCAAGCCCUUGAAUUCAUCCUCCAGCCUCGUACGUAGACAUCUUAGAAUAGCGCCAUAGUUUUCUUCUCCCCCAGCUUCUAUACUUCCCUGUUUUCUCCUAUAAUCAGAUUGCAUAAACUCAAUGACUCCAUCCACACUCCAUUCAGGAACACUCUGAAUCUGUGGUGUGACGGCCAAUAAAGCUUCAACAGCUGCCCGAUUGCCUGUUGUAGCUGCAACAUGUAUUGGCUUAUUACCAUCCUGUAGAGAUAGCAAAAGUUAAAUUUCAGUAUGAAUUACCAGUCCUCAGAAAUUGCUAAUUAUUUUUUAUUUCCAGCGACUCUGCUCA